GGAGGAUCCAAGCGUUAUCCGGAAUCAUUGGGUUUAAAGGGUCCGUAGGCGGUCUGGUAAGUCAGUGGUGAAAGCCCAUCGCUCAACGGUGGAACGGCCAUUGAUACUGCCAGACUUGAAUUAUCAGGAAGUAACUAGAAUAUGUAGUGUAGCGGUGAAAUGCUUAGAGAUUACAUGGAAUACCAAUUGCGAAGACAGGUUACUACUGGUGGAUUGACGCUGAUGGACGAAAGCGUGGGUAGCGAACAGGAUUAGAUACCCUGGUAGUCCACGCCGUAAACGAUGGAUACUAGCUGUUGGGGGCAACUUCAGUGGCUAAGCGAAAGUGAUAAGUAUCCCACCUGGGGAGUACGUUCGCAAGAAUG
rnacentral:rRNA from 1 species